rnacentral:rRNA from 1 species
UACGAAGGGGGCUAGCGUUGUUCGGAAUUACUGGGCGUAAAGCGCGUGUAGGCGGGUCUUUAAGUCAGGGGUGAAAUGCCAAGGCUCAACCUUGGAAACUGCCUUUGAUACUGGAGACCUUGAGUCCGGGAGAGGUGAGUGGAAUUGCGAGUGUAGAGGUGAAAUUCGUAGAAUAUUCGCAAGAACACCAGUGGCGAAGGCGGCUCA